CUUCUAUAUAGUAGACACUCAAAAUGCUUAUUAAACUGCAUUUACAUUCAGCAGAGAUAAACAGAGUGGAAAGCUGCCAUAGCAUUACCUGUGGAAAUGAAUGAAAGCCUGUGAUUCGGAUCCUAAUGGGAGAAAAGUGCCAUGGCAGAAGGAGAUUCUGUUGAGAAGAUAAAUGCCCUCUGACUAUGUCUUCUUCAAUCCUCAAAAAUAUUGCCAUUAUGUUUGAGAGCAGUUGAUAAAGCAUAGUGUGCUGGGAAGAGUGCUGGAGAAGGAGUCAGUUGACCUUCACGACUGUCCAAUUCUGCAAUGAGCAAGCUGUGUCACUUUGGGCAAAUCAUGGGUUCUCUGUUUCUCUGUUUCAUCUAUAAAGUGAGGCAAUGAAAUAUUAUGAUCUUAAAUUAUUUCUUUACAGUUAUAUGACAUUAAUCAAUUCCUGACUUCCUUCUUCCAUUGGUCAUAAAUAUGUGUAUGUAUGUAUAAUAUAUUCAUAGAUAAUG
ensembl:lncRNA novel transcript